AAUCAACGCUGGCGGCGUGCCUAACACAUGCAAGUCGAACGAGAAAGGGGGCUUCGGUCCCUGAGUACAGUGGCGCACGGGUGAGUAACACGUGACUUAUCUACCCUCGAGUGGGGAAUAACUUCGGGAAACCGAGGCUAAUACCGCAUAAUACCCACGGGUCAAGGGAGCAAUUCGCUUGAGGAGGAGGUCGCGGCCGAUUAGUUAGUUGGCGGGGUAAUGGCCCACCAAGACAGUGAUCGGUAUCCGGCCUGAGAGGGCGCACGGACACACUGGAACUGAAACACGGUCCAGACUCCUACGGGAGGCAGCAGUGGGGAAUUUUGCGCAAUGGGGGAAACCCUGACGCAGCAACGCCGCGUGGAGGAUGAAGUCUCUUGGGACGUAAACUCCUUUCGAUCGGGACGAUUAUGACGGUACCGGAAGAAGAAGCCCCGGCUAACUUCGUG
rnacentral:rRNA from 1 species